GUGUCCUAAGUGUCAUUCAGACAUUCACUAUUGACACACCCAUUGACUCUUGAUGGCUCAGAUAGAGUUUGAAAAGGGAACUGGUACCUUUCCAUAUUUCAUAGUCCUUCUGUAUGGGAUAUUCCUACUAGUUAUAACUUCCUUUGGCCUAAGAGCAAGAAAAGAGAUGACAGAGGGAGUGAGUGCCAGUGUGGGCCAUGUUGUCAGAAAAGAAAUAAAGUGGAGAAGAGACGGACUAUAGAUAAACUAUUAAAAAUAAUACGGCAAAUAUCAAUGAUAUCAUUUAUAUCAAUUACCGGUAGUAUAGCAAAGAAUUUUGUGGCCCAAGAGUUGCGUGAAUUUUGCUUUUUUUCGAAAUUCAUAGACAAUAAAAUCUGCGAAAAUUGAUUCAAUACGGUUCAAAAAGGUUGAAAAGUAGAAAUCUGCAAAAAUUAAAGAGGCAAAGUUGUUUUUUCGAAAUGAUUUGUAAUAUUUUGGGCAAUGAAAAUUUUCCGCUAUACAAUAUUGCAUUAGUAUUGGUCAUGUACUGUAAUGAUUGUCUAUAAUUAUAAGUUAGUCUCUUGUUUGUUUGUUUGUUAUUUAGUAUUAUUGGUGUGCUGGUUGUUCUUACUUUGAUUGAUUUAUUGGGCAGUGACACAAGAGCCAGUUGGUGAAUCUGAAGAAUGGGAUCCAUUUAAAACACUAGUGAUUGACAAGGGAGCUACUGUAUCUCAGAUAAACUUGAUGUUGAUGAGAUGUUGCUGGUGAACUUGAAGCCUCUAUAGCAAAAUAUAAAGAAGAAUAUGCAAUGGUUAUAUCUGAUGCUAGUGUUAUUAAGAAUGAUUUAUCAACUGUUGAGAAAAAGGUGAGUUCUUCCUUUGUUUGCGUCACCUUGAGAAGAGUCUCCUCACUGCAUUGAACGAGGUCAAGGGUCGUAUCCUAGACAACAACAGAAUCAUUACUGAGCUUGAGACUCUUAAGGAAGAGGCUGCAGAAGUUCAGAGGAAGAUGGAGGAGACUGAUACUGUAAUGGCUGAAGUUGACAGAGUCUCCCAGCAAUACCUGCCUCUCUCCACCUCCUGCUCUGCCAUGUACUUCACUCUGGAGUCACUCAAUCAGGUUCAUUUCUUGUACCAGUAUUCCUUGCAGUUCGACUGACUGGGGAAGGAAACCACUGUCUCACAGGUACAGUAUGCUGUAGUGGGCAUUGAAUACUGUAUUAUUUGGGAGG